AGCUGGAGCAGGUGGCCGAGCUCUUG
rnacentral:piRNA from 1 species